UUCCUACGGGAGGCAGCAGUGAGGAAUAUUGGUCAAUGGGCGCAAGCCUGAACCAGCCAAGUCGCGUGAGGGAAGACGGCCCUACGGGUUGUAAACCUCUUUUGCCGGGGAGCAAGCCUGAGCACGUGUGCCCAGGCGGAGAGUACCCGGAGAAAAAGCAUCGGCUAACUCCGUGCCAGCAGCCGCGGUAAUACGGAGGAUGCGAGCGUUAUCCGGAUUUAUUGGGUUUAAAGGGUGCGUAUGCGGGCUUUUAAGUCAGCGGUAAAAAUUCGGUGCUCAACCCCGUCCGGCCGUUGAAA
rnacentral:rRNA from 1 species